rnacentral:rRNA from 1 species
GGCGGCGUGCUUAACACAUGCAAGUCGAACGAAGAGCGAUGGAAGCUUGCUUCUAUUAAUCUUAGUGGCGAACGGGUGAGUAACGCGUAAUCAACCUGCCCUUCAGAGGGGGACAACAGUUGGAAACGACUGCUAAUACCGCAUACGAUCUAACUUCGGCAUCGAGGUUAGAUGAAAGGUGGCCUCUAUUUAUAAGCUAUCACUGAAGGAGGGGAUUGCGUCUGAUUAGCUAGUUGGAGGGGUGACGGCCCACCAAGGCGAUGAUCAGUAGCCGGUCUGAGAGGAUGAACGGCCACAUUGGGACUGAGACACGGCCCAGACUCCUACGGGAGGCAGCAGUGGGGAAUCUUCCGCAAUGGACGAAAGUCUGACGGAGCAACGCCGCGUGAGUGAUGACGGCCUUCGGGUUGUAAAGCUCUGUUAAUCGGGACGAAUGGUUCUUGUGCGAAUAGUGCGAGGAUUUGAC